UUCACGUGGGCCACUUGUACUUAAAAUGUCU
rnacentral:piRNA from 1 species